AAUGAACGUUGGCGGCGUGGAUUAGGCAUGCAAGUCGUGCGGAAAUGGCCCGCAAGGGUUAUUUUAGCGGCGAAAGGGAUAGUAACACGUGGGUAACCUACCUUUAGGCCCGGGAUAGCUGUGGGAAACUGCAGGUAAUACUGGAUGAUAUCUUCGGAUCAAAGGUGUGAUUCCGUCUAGAGAGGGGCCCGCGUCCUAUUAGCUAGUUGGCGAGGUAACGGCUCACCAAGGCAUUGAUGGGUAGCGGGUGGGAGAGCAUGACCCGCAUCAUUGGGACUGAGACACUGCCCAGACACCUACGGGUGGGUGCAGUCGAGAAUCUUCGGCAAUGGGCGCAAGCCUGACCGAGCGACGCCGCGUGCGGGAUGAAGGCCUUCGGGUUGUAAACCGCUGUCAGUGGGGAGGAAAUGUCGGUGGGUUCUCCCAUCGAUUUGACCUAUCCGCAGAGGAAGUACGGGCUAAGUUCGUGCCAGCAGCCGCAGUAACAC
rnacentral:rRNA from 1 species